rnacentral:rRNA from 1 species
GAUGAACGCUAGCGGCGGGCCUAAUACAUGCAAGUUGAACGAGAUUGUUGGUAGCAAUACUGACAUGAAAGUGGCGCACGGGUGCGUAACACGUAUGUAACCUACCUUUAACUGGGGCAUAGCUUCGAGAAAUCGAAAUUAAUACCCCAUAACAUUUAGAAAAGGCAUCUUUUCUUUAUCAAAGUUCCGGCGGUUAAAGAUGGACAUGCGGUGCAUUAGCUUGUUGGUGAGGUAAUGGCUCACCAAGGCUACGACGGGUAGGGGACCUGAGAGGGUGGCCCCCCANAAUGGAACUGAAACACGGUCCAUACACCUAC